CUGAGGUGCCAUACGCACAGUCAAAGCUUCUUCAGGAUCAUCUGCUUAUCUUGAGUUUGUGGUGAUAUUAAUAUUGAAUGUUUAAAUGAUCUGAAUCUGCCAGUACUAGGGUAGCAUGAGACAAGAUUUCUAAGAUUAAGAAUAAGUAAAUGUGCCCUAGCCAAGGUUAUUAUGUCCAUACACAUAACACAUGACAAUCCCCAAGGUACUCUUGACACACCUCAUUCAUGCUUCAGGAC